CGGCUAUGACAUGUUACUACCGUAUAUUACAGUCUGUCCCGUGUCCGUCCUGUGUAGGUUGUAUGGAAGGUGCUGAAAGGAGGUGAGGAACUGACAGUCGACCGCUCUGUAUAACUGAAGACUCUGGCUAAGAAGACCAGCAAACACUAAAUACAGAGACGUAUGAAGAUUAUAACGACUGGCCCUCAGUGGACUACAGGUAGGAGAGAGACUGGCCCUCAGCUCGGAACUCAUGGACUACAGGUAGGAGAGAGACUGGCCCUCAGUGGACUACAGGUAGGAGAGAGACUGGCCCUCAGUGGACUACAGGUAGGAGAGAGACUGGCCAUCAGUGGACUACAGGUAGGAGAGAGACUGGCCCUCAGUGGACGACAGUAGGAGAAGACGAGGCCCUCAGUGGACUACAAGGUAGGAGAGAGACUGUGGCCCGGCAGUGGGACUACGUAUGAGAGAAGGCCCUCAGUAACUACGGUAGGGAGAGACUGGCCAGGGGCAGGACUACAGUAGGGAGAGACUGCCAGGGGCGGACUGACAGGUAGGAGAGAGACUGGCAAGGGGCGGACUACAGGUAGGAGAGAGACUGGCCAGGGGCGGACUAACAGGAGGGAGAGAGACUGAGCCAGGGGGUCGGACUACAGGUAGGAGAGACUGACCAGGCGACACAGG
rnacentral:lncRNA from 1 species